rnacentral:tRNA from 1 species
GCCAAUAUAGUUCAACGGAUAGAACGGAGGUUUCCUAAACCUUAAAUCCAAGUUCGACUCUUGGUAUUGGCACAA